GACGAACGCUGGCGGCGUGCUUAACACAUGCAAGUCGAACGGAAAGGCCUGCUUUCCCUUGUGGAUUGCGGGUACUCGAGUGGCGAACGGGUGAGUAACACGUGAGUGAUCUGCCCCCAACUUGGGUAUAAGCCUGGGAAACUGGGUCUAAUUCCCGAUAGGACUGCAGGGUGGUGCCUGUGGUGGAAAACGAUUUUCUAGUGGUUGGGGAUGAGCUCGUGGCCUAUCAGCUUGUUGGUGGGGUAAUGGCCUACCAAGGCGGCGACGGGUAGCCGGCCCGGGAGGGUGGACGGGAGAAGUGGGACGGAGAUACGGCCCAGAAUACUACGGGCAGCAGCCGACGGGAAUCAUGCGCGAUGAGCGGAAGCCAGUUGCAGGGAGGCCGAGUCGGCGAUGCCGGGCGUGGGAUUGUGAACUCCGUUCGGCCGCGAGGAAGCGACCUGGAUGGAAGGGUGGUGACGGUAGUGGUAGAAGAAGCACCGGCUAACUACGUG
rnacentral:rRNA from 1 species